UAAAUGGCCGCGGUAUUUUGACCGUGCAAAGGUAGNAUAAUAAUUAGUUUUUUAAUUGAAAGCUGGAAUGAAUGGUUGGACGAGAAAAUAACUGUCUCAGGUUAAUUUAAUUAGAAUUUUAUUUUUAAGUAAAAAAGCUUAAAUUUAUUUAAAAGACGAGAAGACCCUAUAGAGCUUUAUAUAUUUAAAAUUAAAUUUGAUGUAGAAUUUUAAUGUUUUUAUUUUUAAAUGUAUUUUAUUGGGGUGAUAGAAAAAUUUAUAGAACUUUUUUUUUAUAAUUACAUUGAUUUAUGAAUUAUUGAUCCAUUUUUUAUGAUUAAAAGAUUAAGUUACCUUAGGGAUAACAGCGUAAUUUUUUUUUAGAGUUCUUAUCGAAAAAAGAGAUUGCGACCUCGAUGUUGGAUUAAAAUUAAUGUUUGGNGUAGAGGCUAAAUAAUUAGGUCUGUUCGACCUUUAAAAUUUUACA
rnacentral:rRNA from 1 species